rnacentral:lncRNA from 12 species
AGGGGUACCUGAGGCCCUGCCAAAACUCUUGAGUGAGAAACCAAACCCAACUCACCCUGGCCGGGUC